CCCCAAUUAGAUUUUCUCUCCCUGCAAUAGCACACUUCUCCUGAAUGGUAUGUACACCAAAAUGGUAUGUCUGCUUAGUUCCUGAUAUGCCCUGUAUUUGUAUGGAUUCCACAACUGGAUAUACAUUAAAUACAUCUUUUAUUAUAGGAAUUCCAGCCCCCAUGUCCAAUAGAAAAGCCCGUCCCUGACUCGGAUAUUUAAGUGGGGGCAUCCCCAGACAUCUAUUGUCAUGGGUUGCUGGAAAAUGCAUUCCGAGUUGCGGGGAAGGCUGUCCUAUGCUACUGAAUUACUAGCAAUCGGAUCAUUCAAUCCAGACACCAAAACAGUCACUUUAGCCACCUUCCUCACUGCCUUUUCUUCCUCCUUUUGAGACUCCUUGCCAAUCAUACAUGCCUGUAGCUGCGCCCACAGCGUCUCAUUCUCUCCUUUAAGGUCUACGUUCUCCUGUUUCAGAGCUCCAGGAGACACCCAUUCACUCUCUUUAUUUACUCCUCUACCUCUGUUCAUUCCACGAUCUCUCCAACCCUGGCCACUGGGAGAGUAUUCAGGACUCUGUUUUCCACUGUCCUAACUGUGUUCGCAGCUCAUUGACAGGAGUUCCUUCCUGCUGUUUAACCGCAGUCUCCACUCUUUCAAUCCAUUCAUUCCAGGUACGUCUCUGCCUCCAUUCUCACACCAAGCAUUCAUCCAUUCUGUCACCCCAGAAGGCAGUGCCUUCAAAACAAGUUGUUUUCUGUCAUGUUAGAUCACGAUUCCUCCAGCUGACAGCUCGCUUACUCACCAGAUCAGCGGGUCGGGGUCACCAAUGUCGUCAGAUGUCACCAGUGUGGUGCUCUGCCCUGUUCAACGUUAAUAACAGUUGGCUGCGGGCAUGUGUUCCCACUGCGUGCUUCCACGUCUCUGCGCAGAUCGCUGACAUAGCAGACCCUGAAAGAAACCCCAAUAACCACAGACUCCAAUAAGGAUGGGUCAGCACGUUCCUGUUAUCUGCCAAAAUUCCCUCUGAGUCAAAUCAACUGCCAUCAAAGAAUCAGCCGUGACAUGUCUGGCGACCUCCACCCUGGGAUUAGUUACCAGUUGUAUUUCUCCAGUCAAGAAUCUCAAUACCAGGCUUCAAUGGUCUACAUCCCAACAUCUCUAUGACUCUGCACUGACCUGGAGAGGAAAUGGUUGGGCCAUGAUUCCUGACCUGGCAAUUGUGAGAAUGGAAAGUGUGAUCAUAGGCGACCAUUUCCCCAGAAAGGCAUGAUGAAGGCUCCUAUCGAUAUAAACUGCACCGACAGCAAGGCGUAGAACAGAGACAUCAGCAGCCAUGCACCCGGACAGCUCCUACCACAAAUGGGAAAGCUCAAAGCAGAUGGAACUGGCAGUGCAGGGAGUGAGCAGCACACCUGGGAGAGCCGGUAAAGGUGAGCUGGUCUGAGGAAGGGUGGUCUUGUGAUUAAGGAGCUGCCCUGGCAGUCAGGAGUCUUGGGUCCGAUUCCUGGCUUUCCUAAUUUGAGGUUGGCCAGUGCCAACAAUCAGAAUAGUUUCUCUCUCUCUCCCAAUCAGUGUAUUACUUAAAGAUGGAUAUUCCCAUCAUCCACAUAAACUCCUUUCUUAUCAUGGGGCAAACUCAUCCCUGGGUCACUCCAGUGCCUUCAGUGUUGCUAUUUCAGGGAGGAAACUGGUCCUGUGAGCCUGCCCAUGUCUUCCCGCUACAGCCUGAGAGGAUUCUCAUAUUCCCUUUAAGGCAGGGGCUUGUCAAUCUGGGGGUCACACUCACCCUGCCCUCCCCAUAUUGCCAAAAGGGAGAGGGAUUCCCAACAUGGAAAAUGGAACACAGGGAGGACCGAGAAAUACCUCAAGGUAUUUACCCUGUGGUGAAUCCCUCCCCUCCCUUUGUCCAGUCAUCUUCUCUUGUGGGGAACCAUGUUCAGUGCCGGGAGUCUCUCCCCAAAGGGAAUGUUGUGGGGGUUGAUCCUGCUGUGACGUUAUUGACAUGAACUGUGACCAUAUAGACCAUUGUUGCAACCAAGGUCAUAUAGUGGCACCAAACCUUGUACAAAGGAGGUUAAGUAAGGUGUCCUUGAAAAGGUUAUGAUUUGCUGGUUAUGAUUAUGCUAUCUGUAUGCACGUAUCGUUUUUCUAUUUGACGUUAUAAGUAUUGGCUCUAUACUGUCUGUAUUUCAAACUUGGACUAUGCUUCUGGGUGACACCCCAGACAGUGGGGCAUCAGCAUUGCCUAGCCUGCUUAAUGGCCCAUAAAGGACCAUCAGCCAUACAACUGACCCAUUGAGAGAAGGCAGAUACACCUUGUAACUCAGCAAGGCAUGCAGGGACAUGCCUCGGGACAGAACUCUAAGGCUUUCAAGCCAUGGCUGGGCAGCUUGUAUUUGAGAAAAAGGAAGAACAAGUCACAAGGCAGAUGAUAUAAAAGACCCUGGAAGCUCCUCCAUUUUCUCUUCAAUCCUGCUUCUUACCUCUGGAGGAACUUUGUUUCACUGAAGCUCUGAACAUAGGACUGAAUGACCCAUCCCAGCUGUGGAUGUACUCCAGGGACUUGAUUUGAGCCUCCAGUUUAAGCCAUCACUGCUACAAGCCUGAACCAAUAACGUUGCCAUUACUGUAUAUAAUUGAUUUCAUUUAACCAAGUCUA